rnacentral:rRNA from 1 species
GACGAACGCUGGCGGCGUGCUUAACACAUGCAAGUCGAACGGAAAGGCCCUGCUUGCAGGGUACUCGAGUGGCGAACGGGUGAGUAACACGUGGGUUAUCUGCCCUGCACUUCGGGAUAAGCCUGGGAAACUGGGUCUAAUACCGGAUAGGAGCCAUUUUUAGUGUGAUGGUUGGAAAGUUUUUUCGGUGUAGGAUGAGCUCGCGGCCUAUCAGCUUGUUGGUGGGGUAAUGGCCUACCAAGGCGGCGACGGGUAGCCGGCCUGAGAGGGUGGACAGCCACAUUGGGACUGAGAUACGGCCCAGACUCCGACGGGAGGCAGCAGUGGGGAAUAUUGCACAAUGGGCGCAAGCCUGAUGCAGCGACGCCGCGGGGGGGAUGACGGCCUUCGGGUUGGAAACUCCUUUCGCUAGGGACGAAGCUUUUUGUGACGGUACCUAGAUAAGAAGCACCGGCUAACUACGUG